rnacentral:rRNA from 1 species
UACAGAGGGGCAAGCGUUAUUCGGAAUUAUUGGGCGUAAAGGGCGCGUAGGCGGCCGGACAAGUGGAAGGUGAAAUCCCCGAGCUCAACUCGGGAACUGCCCUCCAAACUGUUUGGCUUGAGUCCGGGAGAGGUGAGUGGAAUUCCCAGUUGUAGCGGUGAAAUGACGUAGAUAUUGGGAGGAACACCAGUGGCGAAGGCGGCUCACUGGCUCGAUACUGACGCUGAGGUGCGAAAGCGUGGGGAGCAAACAGG